rnacentral:rRNA from 1 species
GACGAACGCUGGCGGCGUGCUUAACACAUGCAAGUCGAACGGAAAGGCCUGCUUUCCCUUGUGGAUUGCGGGUACUCGAGUGGCGAACGGGUGAGUAACACGUGAGUGAUCUGCCCCCAACUUGGGUAUAAGCCUGGGAAACUGGGUCUAAUUCCCGAUAGGACUGCAGGGUGGUGCCUGUGGUGGAAAACGAUUUUCUAGUGGUUGGGGAUGAGCUCGCGGCCUAUCAGCUUGUUGGUGGGGUAAUGGCCUACCAAGGCGGCGACGGGUAGCCGGCCUGGGAGGGUGGACGGCCACAUUGGGACUGAGAUACGGCCCAGACUCCUACGGGGGGCAGCAGUGGGGAAUAUUGCACAAUGGGCGGAAACCUGAUGCAGCGACGCCGCGUGGGGGAUGACGGCCUUCGGGUUGUAAACUCCUUUCGACCGCGAGGAAGCCACCUGGUUGGAAGGGUGGUGACGGUAGUGGUAGAAGAAGCACCGGCUAACUACGUG